rnacentral:rRNA from 1 species
UACGUAGGGGGCAAGCGUUGUCCGGAAUUACUGGGCGUAAAGGGCGCGUAGGCGGUGUGUCAAGUCAGGCGUGAAAGCCCCGGGCUCAACCUGGGAACCGCGCUUGAGACUGGCACGCUCGAGUUCGGGAGAGGAUGGUGGAAUUCCCAGUGUAGAGGUGAAAUUCGUAGAUAUUGGGAAGAACACCGAUGGCGAAGGCAGCCAUCUGGACCGACACUGACGCUGAGGCGCGAAAGCGUGGGGAGCAAACAGG